rnacentral:rRNA from 1 species
CGCAUGGUAGGAGAGCGUUCCGUAAGCCUGCGAAGGUGCCUUGUAAAGGGUGCUGGAGGUAUCGGAAGUGCGAAUGCUGACAUGAGUAGCGAUAAAGGGGGUGAAAGGCCCCCUCGCCGUAAGCCCAAGGUUUCCUACGCAACGUUCAUCGGCGUAGGGUGAGUCGGCCCCUAAGGCGAGGCAGAAAUGCGUAGCUGAUGGGAAGCAGGUCAAUAUUCCUGCACCAUUGUUAGAUGCGAUGGGGGGACGGAUCGCGGAAGGUUGUCCGGGUGUUGGAAGUCCCGGUCGCUGCAUUGGAGAAGGCGCUUAGGCAAAUCCGGGCGCGUAAUUCAAGGGUGUGGCGCGAGCUCCUUAGGGAGCGAAGCAAUUGGAAGUGGUUCCAAGAAAAGCCUCUAAGCUUCAGUCUAACGAUGACCGUACCGCAAACCGACACAGGUGGGCGAGAUGAGUAUUCUAAGGCGCUUGAGAGAACUCGGGAGAAGGAACUCGGCAAAUUGGUACCGUAACUUCGGGAUAAGGUACGCCCUUGUAGCUUGACUGGCCUGCGCCAGGAGGGUGAAGGGGUUGCAAUAAACUGGUGGCUGCGACUGUUUAAUAAAAACACAGCACUCUGCAAACACGAAAGUGGACGUAUAGGGUGUGACGCCUGCCCGGUGCCGGAAGAUUAAAUGAUGGGGUGCAAGCUCUUGAUUGAAGUCCCGGUAAACGGCGGCCGUAACUAUAACGGUCCUAAGGUAGCGAAAUUCCUUGUCGGGUAAGUUCCGACCUGCACGAAUGGCGUAACGAUGGCCACACUGUCUCCUCCCGAGACUCAGCGAAGUUGAAGUGUUUGUGAUGAUGCAAUCUACCCGCGGCUAGACGGAAAGACCCCAUGAACCUUUACUGUAGCUUUGCAUUGGACUUUGAACCGAUCUGUGUAGGAUAGGUGGGAGGCUAUGAAACCGGAACGCUAGUUUCGGUGGAGCCGUCCUUGAAAUACCACCCUGGUUUGUUUGAGGUUCUAACCUUGGCCCGUGAUCCGGGUCGGGGACAGUGCAUGGUAGGCAGUUUGACUGGGGCGGUCUCCUCCCAAAGCGUAACGGAGGAGUACGAAGGUACGCUAGGUACGGUCGGAAAUCGUGCUGAUAGUGCAAUGGCAUAAGCGUGCUUAACUGCGAGACCGACAAGUCGAGCAGGUGCGAAAGCAGGUCAUAGUGAUCCGGUGGUUCUGUAUGGAAGGGCCAUCGCUCAACGGAUAAAAGGUACUCUGGGGAUAACAGGCUGAUACCGCCCAAGAGUUCAUAUCGACGGCGGUGUUUGGCACCUCGAUGUCGGCUCAUCUCAUCCUGGGGCUGUAGCCGGUCCCAAGGGUAUGGCUGUUCGCCAUUUAAAGAGGUACGUGAGCUGGGUUUAAAACGUCGUGAGACAGUUUGGUCCCUAUCUGCCGUGGGCGUUGGAUAUUUGAAGGGGGCUGCUCCUAGUACGAGAGGACCGGAGUGGACGAACCUCUGGUGUACCGGUUGUCACGCCAGUGGCAUCGCCGGGUAGCUAUGUUCGGAAGAGAUAACCGCUGAAAGCAUCUAAGCGGGAAACUCGCCUUAAGAUGAGAUAUCCCUGGGGACUAGAUCCCCUUGAAGGGUCGUUCGAGACCAGGACGUUGAUAGGUCAGGUGUGUAAGCGCAGUAAUGCGUUCAGCUAACUGAUACUAAUUGCCCGUAAGGCUUGAUCCUAUAACA